rnacentral:rRNA from 1 species
UACGAAGGGGCUAGCGUUGUUCGGAUUUACUGGGCGUAAAGCGCACGUAGGCGGAUUGUUAAGUCAGGGGUGAAAUCCCGGAGCUCAACUCCGGAACUGCCUUUGAUACUGGCAAUCUAGAGUCCGGAAGAGGUGAGUGGAACUCCUAGUGUAGAGGUGGAAUUCGUAGAUAUUAGGAAGAACACCAGUGGCGAAGGCGGCUCACUGGUCCGGUACUGACGCUGAGGUGCGAAAGCGUGGGGAGCAAACAGG